rnacentral:tRNA from 1 species
CCAAUGGUGGUUCAGUGGUAGAAUUCUUGCCUUCCAUGUGGGUGGCCUGGGUUCAAUUCCAAGCCAAAGCA